rnacentral:rRNA from 1 species
AUGCCCUCUGAUUUUGAGACUAGUGUUAAAGAAUUUAUGAUUUCCCAAAAGAAUUUCAAUGCUUUGCUUGAGGAGAAAUUGCCUAAGAUUGAUGAGUUGGCUAGGAACGUGGAUAGAAUUUCUCUUGAUGUCGAUUCUUUGAAACUUAGAUCUAUUCCACCUAAGCAUGAUAUCAAUGAGUCUCUCAAAGCUAUGAGGAUUUCCAUUGAUGAGUGCAAAGAAAGAACCGCUAGGAUGCGUGCUAAGAAAGAUUGCCUUGUAAAAGCGUGUUCUUCUAGUUUUCAUGAUAAUAGGGAUGAAGACCUAAAAGUUAUUGAUGUGUCCCAUUUUAAAUCUUUGUUUUGCAAUAUGAAUCUUGAUAAUGAUGGGACUGGAGAUGAGUCAACUUUAGUUAAAAGGCGUCCCAAUGAUUCGGAGUUUUUAGAUCUUGAUGCAAAAAUUGGUAAAAGUGGUAUUGAAGAGGUCAAAACUUUACAUAGCAAUGAACCCACUAUUUUGGAUUUCAAGGAAUUUAGUUAUGAUAAUUGUUCUUUAAUAGAUUGUACUUCCUUGUUGUAA